UGGGGAAUAUUGCACAAUGGGCGCAAGCCUGAUGCAGCCAUGCCGCGUGUAUGAAGAAGGCCUUCGGGUUGUAAAGUACUUUCAGCGGGGAGGAAGGGAGUAAAGUUAAUACCUUUGCUCAUUGACGUUACCCGCAGAAGAAGCACCGGCUAACUCCGUGCCAGCAGCCGCGGUAAUACGGAGGGUGCAAGCGUUAAUCGGAAUUACUGGGCGUAAAGCGCACGCAGGCGGUUUGUUAAGUCAGAUUGGAAAUCCCCGGGCUCAACCUGGGAACUGCAUCUGAUACUGGCAAGCUUGAGUCUCGUAGAGGGGGGUAGAAUUCCAGGUGUAGCGGUGAAAUGCGUAGAGAUCUGGAGGAAUACCGGUGGCGAAGGCGGCCCCCUGGACGAAGACUGACGCUCAGGUGCGAAAGCGUGGGGAGCAAACAGG
rnacentral:rRNA from 1 species